GAAAAUAGUCACCAAUGGCUGUCUGUGUGCUGGAGAGCUGGAGGAUCCAACAGUUGCUCAGCUCAAGAACCUAGAAGCCACAGAUCAACAGAGAUCAAAGAUACAGCAGCAAUCAAAGACCAAAGACCUAAAAGUCCUCUGGAAAGUCCUUGGUAACAGUGGUAUUGGAAGGCCAAGCAGGAAAAGACACACUCACUCUGGCAGAACGCAGCUUUUCAAAACAAACUCACUUCCUUAUUCUUUCUUUUUAUUACAUCUCAGCUAUGAGCCUACUGACUGUGCCACCCACAACUGGGAUGGGUCAAUCAUGUCCAGGCACAUCAAGAAAAAGCACUGUGAACUGUGAUUCCGUUCUUCCAAAGUUUGAUGAUAAGGGAGGCUCCGGGGUGAAACCUCGCCAACAAAUUUGCCAUGGUUGUAUACUAUUAAGGCCUUAGCUGGCUCACUUCUUGUGCUGGACAGUUAUUGAUUGUAACUACAAGUGGCAAGAAGAGGGUUCUGACUCCUGCAGGAAAGACAAGCUCCGAUUUAUUUCACAGGGUAGUUUGGAAGGUAGAAGCUAAUUGGCCUAAUUGUUCAAGCUGAGAACAGGAAGAGCAAAGGGUCAGCUAACCUCCUCCUGACUGAAUGGAGAAUCAAUGGAUGCCUUGGGGGCUAUAGAUUGGCCCCUGGCUCUCAGCUCCUGCUCCAGUGAACUCUGGAAGAUAAGACUGAGUAGACAGUCAAUAGACCCACUUCGCUGACUGCCUUCUCUGUCUUCUCUUCUGCAUCUAACACGCCUGCGUCGUCUCUUCUGAAAAACAUCAGCCUCCAGUUUCUUUUUUUGCUUGCAUUCUAAGGAAAGGCAGCAUAUCUUUUAGGCAAGCUGAAAUCAUCAAUCCAAAUGCAACUUUGCUUCUUUGGGACUUCACAUAGCAGGCAGCUCUGGCCAGGAGCAAGGUUUACCAGAAUUGCUUAAUAUUCAAUUAAGCAAGACCUACAAGCCCAGGAAGCACAUUUGAAUGGGAGGGAUUUCAUCUCUUUAAAGUUUCAGGACUAAAGAAAAGCCAGCCUGCAUCAGGAAGGAGAAAUGCAUCCUAAAUAACCUGCAAGCCCAACAUGGGUAUGGUUUUCACCUGGCUAUGGAGUGAUUUUCCAUCAUGUGCACUUUCACAUAGAAAUAAGUGUUUCCAGAAAGGAAGUCACAGUUGCCUGCAGUCAUAUGGGGAGGAGGAGACUGGGGAUAAAAAUCACAAUGUCCAUGACAUUUCUUGAAGAAAAAGAGCUCUUUGCUUUAUCCACCUCCAUCUUACUUUGCAGUGAAGACAACAAGGGGAGGGGGCAGUUCACAAGGGUCUCUAUCCCUACCCCUUAGGAGCUCCCAUUAAAGACAGGAUGUUCUGUGGUCUGCAGCUGGUGCUGCCCUAAUUCUUUCUGAGUUGUGAUACUGGAGCCAAAGCUCUCUUUGCUGCACUUAAUCAGUGUUUGAAGUUCAGCUUUUCUGAGGGCGUGAAACCUUGGCACCGAGCACAUGUAUAAAAGCCAAGGGCUAUUUUUUAUUUCUCCUUUCAUUACAACCUUUCACAUUAUCCUUUCCCUUUUUUUCUCACUAGAGCCUCUCUUAGGGGCAGAAUUGAGGCUUGAAAAUAGAAGAGACUUUCCAGCCUCAAGUCCUGCCUGCCUCCUCCACAGAAGGAAGAGGCACCAACACUGCCUCUUGGUCCUUGCAAAGCCAGGCCCUGAGUACCCAGGACUUCCACUGCCAUGGCCAUGGCCCAUCGUGGGUAGUAUUUUACUCCUGCAGUAUUUUAUGGGUGCUCAUUGCAAGUAACUCUUUGAAAACAAAGCUACAAGCAUAAGUACUAAUUUGUUUGCCUAAAGAGUAUAAAAUCUGGUAGGGAGAUAGCCAUUAAAACUUCUGCAAGCUGAAUGGCUGAUGAUACUUUUUUCAGAGGAAAAGUGGUAAGUAUGUGCAGGAGGGUCACUUUACUGUCACAGGUAAGUUUAGCUUCUUGUGUUUGUCUAAAGUGGGAGAUCCUUGACAGGAGUAUUUUACCAAGAUAAGUGCUGGUCAGAGUGUCUUGGGAUCAGUGAAGUAGCUGAGAUUUUGUUUGAUUUCUGGGCCCCACUGCAAGGCUUCUGAUUCAGUAGCUUUGCAGUGAUAUCUGAGAAUUGAGACUUUUGUGUUAAUGACUCUUGAACACCUAAGUUUAAGAGAAAUUUAUAGAUUAGGUCUCCAAAGUCUGAUUUUAUGUUUUUCCAAGUCCUCUCUUCUUCUAUGCUUGUUUUCUGUGAUUGAUGUCUUCUCUGUCUCUCUCUCGACCAGUGAUUUUUGCAUUAUUGGUUACGAUAUACAUACCAAGUGAUUUGUCACAAAUAAGUUAUUAAGUGCUACAUACAAUGGAUGAUUUACUUUUUAGAAGAUUCAGUAUUCCACUUUAUAAGAAUAUAGCUCAACGUAUUUAAAUAAGCUGUCAUGAGAGAGAAAGAAAAUGUUCAAGUUAGCUUACUGGGAAUUAUGAAUAACAUUCAAACUAUUUGUUCUAUACCUCCUAGCACUCCAAAGAAAGUGUAUAAUGCAAACGGACAAAAAAUUUAACAGUAGGCAAAAACUAACUGCAACACCGUUCUGCCAUAUACUUCUGAUUUGCGCAUUAUUUUAAUGAGCAUUUCUCACUGGAAGCACAUGAAGGGUAAUUAUUUGUGACACUGUAUUAUCCAACACUGCAAAGGAGUUUUAGUAUCUCUAGAUUCUGCCCACUAAACACUGGUAGCAUUUUCUAGUCAUUGUGGGAGAUAAUAUAAAACUAGGUGUUUAUAAGCACCCAAGUCUGUCCCUGGUUGCUUCCAUCUUUCCUUCAUGACAAUCACCAGAGAAAAUUCUCUAAAAUGUAAAUCUGAUAACUUCACUCUCAGCUGCUCAAAAUUAUUCUGUGAGUCCUCAUUAUCUGCAGAGAAAAUGCGAACUCCAUCAGUUUCAGAUUCAAUAUCCCUAAUGCACCAGCCCCAUCUAUUUCUGAGUUUCAUUUCUGCUCAUCUCACCUACCAAUCUUAUUCUAUUACAUGCCUUUUCCUUAAAACUCCCAAAUUUCCUCUGCUGCACUGCCCCUUCCCUGACUUUCAUCCUAUCUGCCUGACUUCUUCCACAUCUUUUAUGACUUGGAUGAAGAAUGUUUGCAUUUGCCUAAGUCUAGGAUGGACAAGGGAGGCUGGCUGCAGGGAUGUGCUUCUUCUGUCACUUUACUCAGAGAAAUGCACUACAAUUGUUUAAUUCUUCUCUUUUUAGAACAAUGAAGACAUUUUGUAUCAUACCUGGCAUAACAAUCUAGCUGAUGGUGGCUGCCCUGACAAUACUGCAUGAACCACUUACAGCAGACAUUGUGCUAGCCACUGUAGCUUCAACUGAUCUCACAGUGGCAAAGGUUGUAAGAAUUUCGUCUCAUGUCACUUACAAAAUCUUACAUGAGAAUACACAGUAUUGACAGCUCGUUAUAGCUGCCAGCAGCCAUUCAGAGUUUCCAGCUAUCUCAUGGCUCUGAGACAAGAGCACUGUUUAAAACACUGGUCUGCUGGGGGAACAAGAAAAGAGAAAAAUCAGACAUGUGGCUCUGGAACUCCAGGAAGCAUUGAUCCCUCUCCCUCUAGCAUCCCAGCUGCGGAUGCAUUGACAGCCCUUUUUUUUUUUUUUUUCCUGAGAGAAUAGUUAAUGCUAUUGGUCAAAUGUCUGACCCUUGAUAUCUAUGUUGAAGUCCUAGGUUUGUCAGAAUGUGACCUUCUUUGGAAAGAGGACCUUGAAAGAGGUAGCCAAGUUAAAAUGAAGUAAUUAGAAAGGAUCCUACUAUGGUAUGAUGGGCCUUAUUAAAUAUGGUGUCCUUGUGAAAAAAGGAGAAAUCUAAACAGACACAGACACAGAAGGAAGAUGUUAUGAACAGCCAUCAGGACAAUGUGUGUAAAAGUGAGGGACUGAGUAAUGUGUUUAUAAAACAAAGAAUACCAAAGCCUGCCAGCAAACCACUGGAAGCUACAAAGAGACAGCAGCAACAACAACAACAACAAAAAGGAAAAUAAAAGAAUAUCCUUUGGGGUUCUGAAAGAGCAUGGCCCUGCAGACAUCUUGGAUUUUUCUGUCCAGCAUCAGGACAUUUACAGAAUAAACUUCUGUCAUUUAAAUCUACUCAACUUGCAUUGCUUUGCCACAGAGAACUGGAAACUUAAGAUUCAUGGGGAAAGAAGUGUGGCACUGCUGUGCUGCGCAGAUCCCCUGGGCUUCUGGUGCCACAUCCCCACCUUGGCGUGGCACCUUGGCCUGGCAUAACGCUGACCUGAGGUGGAAGCAACUGCCUUCAACCAUGUGACCCUCCAACGUGCAGUUUAUGGGUCCUACUUGCAUAUGAGAAAAAAAUCGAUUCUUCCAGUGGAUUCCAUGAGUUCCUUUUUUUGCAAGCUUGUACUCGUGUUCUGUCCACCCUUGCAAGGACCUCAGUUCCUUUAGCUCAGACUGAAGACAGUUGCACCAUUCAGCCAAAGCCACCUGCUCACUCUUCAGGUGUGUGCUACCCAGCUCACUUGCAGGUCCUGCAAGACUAAACACUGAUUUGGAGCAUAGACUCCUCUGUUCCACAUGGGAUGGAGACUGUGUAUGUACAACGAGCAGAGCUUGGUUAUUGAAUGUAAGCAAGUUUCUACUCCCUUGAAGAAUGAGAUCUGUUCUAAGCAGAAGUAUUCUGCUUUUGUAAGCAGAAGCAUUUGAUCCUAACCCCAUAUGACAGUUUGCAAAUUCUUCCAUUGAUUCUAAAGAUGGCCCAGGGAUUUGGUUCCCUCAGACACCUGGUGGCUAGAACAGCAAAGCUGGAGUCCAUGUCCUUGAGGUCCCCUUCCAUCUUCCUCAGCUGUGUAGCCUCAAUUCUUUUCCUAGCUUUAGGAUUCAGACUAGACUCGCGGGAGUCAGUGGCACACUGCUGCUUCCUCCUAAUUUUAGAAUAACAUUCAAGGGGAAAAUAUCACAUACCCAAUUUAAGAGUUGCCUGCUGUGUUCACUACAAUUUAGGAAACUGAAAAAAUUAAAAUUCAAGAAAAUUUCUAGGUAAUUAACAAAAUCAGUUUUGUUAGUCAGCUUUCUGUUGCUGUAACAAACACCUGAGAUAAACCACCAUCUUAUGAGGAGUAAA